CCAAUAGCGUAUAUUAAAGUUGUUGCAGUUAAAAAGCUCGUAGUUGAAUUUCGGGAUCAGUACGCUGGUCGUGCCUUCGGUAUGAACUGGUGUCACUGGUUCCUCCCUUCUGAAGAACCGUCAUGCCAUUCAGUUGGUGUGGCGGGGAAUCAGGACUGUUACUUUGAAAAAAUUAGAGUGUUUAAAGCAGGCUCGCGCUUGAAUACAUUAGCAUGGAAUAAUGAAAUAGGACGUUUGACCCUAUUUUGUUGGUUUCUAGGAUCGACGUAAUGAUUAAUAGGGAUAGUUGGGGGCAUUAGUAUUCAAUUGUCAGAGGUGAAAUUCUUGGAUUUAUUGAAGACUAACUACUGCGAAAGCAUUUGCCAAGGAUGUUUUCAUUAAUCAAGAACGAAAGUUAGGGGAUCGAAGACGAUCAGAUACCGUCGUAGUCUUAACCAUAAACUAUGCCGACUAGGGAUCGGAUGAUGUUAAUUUUUUAAUGACUCAUUCGGCGCCUUACG
rnacentral:rRNA from 1 species